rnacentral:lncRNA from 1 species
UCAUUUUUAUUGUCUCAAAAACUUAAGACCUUUUGAAACACACACCUACCAUAUGACCCAGCCAUUCUACUCCUAGCUGCUUACUCAAGAGAAAUAAAAGCAUGUCCACAGAAGAGUGUUGUAUCAGCAACUUUAUUCCCAAUAACCCCAAGCUGGAAACAACCCAAUGCCCAUUAACAGGUAAAUGAAUAAAUGAAGAGUUUUCUAUCCAUACAAUGAAUUAUUAUUGACCAAUGAAAAGGAACAAACUGGUGCAUGUGGUAACAUGUAUUAAGCUGAAUCAAAGAAGCCAGACACAAGAUUACAUACGAUGUAUUCUGAAGAACGCAAACGAAUCCAUUACUGUUACAGAGGGAGGUCAGUGGUUGCUUGUGGACCGUGGAAGGAAGUGUUGUUCUGUAGUUUCACAGGCGGAUGCAACUGUCAACGUUAAUCAAAAUGUACACUUUAAAUGACUGCUGCUGCUAAGUCGCUUCAGUCGUGUCCGACUCUGUGCGACCCCAUAGACGGCAGCCCAUCAGGCUCCUCUGUCCACAGGAUCCUCUAGGCAAGAACACUGGAGUGGGUUGCCAUUUCCUUCUCCGUUAAAUGACUACAACUUAUGUAAAUUGUUUCUCAAAGUUAUCAGGGAAAAUUGUUUUGUAAGCUCUUGACUGUUCAACCUGAGACUUAAAACACAUAAUGGGCACAGAUUCGUUUUACAUGGCCAUAUCGUCAAAAAAGGGUCAAUGAACCCAAAAUUGUUCUUAAACAUUCUGGAAAGCCCUUGAGUUACCGAGCAGCAUAUGUGAAUUUGUAGGAAAAGAAUUUAUCUUCUGUUUUCAGGUAAAGCCCGAAGCAAAGAACUGCCUUAGGAGUGAUGCCAGGUGUGCAGGGCCAUUGAGCUCUGCUUAUUCCCAGCCCUUCUGCAGCCCUCUGAGUCCUGAGAACCAGCUGGUUCCGCAAAGAUUUCUCCACUGUGGCUUCUAUUCCCACGGCUCUGCAAAAAGUGCUCCCUCCACGAUAGCCGGUAAUCUCCACAGCGUCCACCCCGCGGAGUAUUUCUGGGUCCUUGUCUUCCUGGAAUGUUCCUUGGAGGACCAUCUGAGAAUCAUUCUAUUGCACAUGAAAGAAAAACCCACUCAAAUUGUGGCAGACAAAACUGUAAGUUUCUUGUAUGGUUUCUUUAGUAAUUUUCUCCCCUGCACUUCUCUCUUCUAGCAUUAAUCAGAUAUUGUUGUUCAGGUGCUAAGUCGUGUCUGACUCUUUGCAACCCCAUGGAAUUAAUCCUCUAACUUUUCUAUCUCCCUCUCUAUUUAUUCAGCUCUGAGAGUUCCUUGCCUCUCUUUUAAACCUGGUAUUGCUUUUGUAACGUCUCCUAUCAUAGUUUUUCUGUCAUUUCUUGUUCUCAGAUGAUUCCUUUCUAUUGCAACACAUUCUUGUUUCAUGGAUGCGGUAUUUUGCCUUAUUUUUUUCUGGCAAAAUUAAUUAAAAUUUUUCCUCCUACUUCCUGAAUUCUGUUUUCUGAGUAACGUUGUUUGUUGUGGUCUCUGUCCAUUGUGUGGAGACAUUCUGAAAAUGUCCGUGACUCAAAGCCGUCUGUUCACAUUCUAUAGGCAGAUCCUGGCAGCUCUAAAGGGA